UCCCUAUGGGGUGCAGCAGUCGCGAAAACUCCGCAAUGCACGAAAGUGUGACGGGGCUACCCCGAGUGCCACCCGCUGAGGGUGGCUUUUCUUUGGUAUAAUUAGCCAUUGGAAUAAGGAGAGGGCAAGACUGGUGUCAGCCGCCGCGGUAAUACCAGCUCUCCGAGUGGUAGGGAUGAUUAUUGGGCUUAAAGCGUCCGUAGCCGGCUUAGCAAGUCUCCUGUUAAACUCAGCGACCUAAUCGUUGACCCGCGGGAGAUACUACUAGGCUAGGAGGCGGGAGAGGUCGACGGUACUUCUGGGGUAGGGGUGAAAUCCUAUAAUCCCGGGAGGACCACCAGUGGCGAAGGCUGUCGACUAGAACGCGCUCGACGGUGAGGGACGAAAGCUGGGGUAGCGAACCGGAUUAGAUACCCGGGUAGUCCCAGCCGUAAACGAUGCAUGCUAGGUGUUGGGUUGGCCACGCGCCACCCCAGUGCCGCAGGGAAGCCGUUAAGCAUGCCGCCUGGGAAGUACGAUCGCAAGAUUGAAACUUAAAGGAAUUGGCGGGGGAGCACCACAAGGGGUGAAGCCUGCGGUUCAAUUGGAGUCAACGCCGGAA
rnacentral:rRNA from 1 species